UGUAGAGAUCUCUUCUGCAGCCCACAAGGUGUAGUGCUCUGCACAGCAGUUACCUCACCCAGACCUACCUACAGACCAGACUGUAGAACCAUUCCGAUCAACUGCAGGGUACUGGCGGAAAAAGCUGAGCUGGUACAUUCAGUUGCAUGGUCCUGUCUAUGUUCCUGUUUGACUGUAUUAAUUAUGAGCAAUAAAACAAUUGAUUUUA